rnacentral:rRNA from 1 species
GUGCCAGCAGCCGCGGUAAUACGUAGGUGACAAGCGUUAUCCGGAAUUACUGGGCGUAAAGCGCACGCAGGCGGCCGAGUAAGUCUGACGUGAAAUCUCCCGGCUUAACCGGGAGCGGUCGUUGGAAACUACUUGGCUUGAGGCGAUGAGAGGGGUGUGGAAUUCCCGGUGUAGUGGUGGAAUGCGUAGAUAUCGGGAGGAACAUCAGUGGCGAAAGCGGCACCCUGGCAUUAGCCUGACGCUCAGGUGCGAAAGCGUGGGGAGCGAACGGGAUUAGAUACCCCUGUAGUCC